rnacentral:sRNA from 1 species
GCAAACAGAAUAAUAUGUACUAUCAGAAGUAGGAGACCUCAGAUGGUCAGAAGUGUUGAGGCACUUUGUGAUGCUUAUAUUAUAUUAGCAAACUUAGAUGCCACUCAGUGGAAGACUCAGAGAAAAGGCAUAAAUAUUCCAGCAGACCAGCCAAUUACUAAACUUAAGAAUUUAGAAGAUGUUGUUGUCCCUACUAUGGAAAUUAAGGUGGACCACACAGGAGAAUAUGGAAAUCUGGUGACUAUACAGUCAUUUAAAGCAGAAUUUCGCUUAGCAGGAGGUGUAAAUUUACCAAAAAUAAUAGAUUGUGUAGGUUCUGACGGCAAGGAGAGGAGACAGCUUGUUAAGGGCCGUGAUGACCUGAGACAAGAUGCUGUCAUGCAACAGGUCUUCCAGAUGUGUAAUACAUUACUGCAGAGAAACACGGAAACUAGGAAGAGGAAAUUAACUAUCUGUACUUAUAAGGUAACUAUUUGUACUUCUGUUAGUUCACCAAAAACAUAUAAAAGAUGCCAUUUGGCUGGGUGAAGUGGCUCGUGCCCCUAUUCGUAAUGCUUUGGGAGGCCAAGGUGGGAGGAUUGCUUGAGGCCAGGAGUUCGAGACCAGCCUCAGCAACAUAGUGAGACCCCAUCUUGACAAAAAGUAAAAAAAAAAAA